ACGGAGGGGGCAAGCGUUAAUCGGAAUUACUGGGCGUAAAGCGCACGUAGGCUGUAGUGUAAGUCAGCUGUGAAAUCCUACGGCUCAACCGAAGAACUGCAGUUGAUACUGUAGAACUGGAGUGCGGGAGAGGGGAGUGGAACUCCUGGUGGAGGGGUGAAAUGCGUAGAUAUCAGGAGGAACAUCGGCGGCGAAGGCGGCCCCCUGGCCCGUUACUGACGCUGAGGUGCGAAAGCUAGGGGAGCAAACGG
rnacentral:rRNA from 1 species